UGAUAGAGGUGUUUUCCUGGCGGCAGAAGACCAGGCGUUACAUAAAUCUAGAUCCAUGCAUGAAGUGAUGGAGCAUGAGCUUACAAAAUCCGUACCAUUGCUCAGAUCAUGAACGAACAUGAACACAACAAACACAACAAACUACUCAGAGAGUACGUAGAACAUGAACGAACACAACAAACUACUCCCAUCACCGCCUAAACUAAGAGAUUGGAUUUUCUGUUCAUGCGAGUGUACCUGGUACACCCGGCCCGGAACAGCCACACUUUUCUUAAUUUAGUUUUGUUUGUAGUUUCUUCCUCUGAAUUUCUGUUACGACAGUUAAUCUAACAAGUAACUUUUUUUUUUCUCCGAGCCCCACAGUCUCCAAAAAUUGAAUUUCUCAGCAUCCAAGUUCAAACCAUGCUUGAAUAUACAUUAACUCUUAGGCAAAUCAAGGAAUCCAUAUCUUCACUAUUGAUGCAAUGGAGGUAGUGGCCGACGGCAGUUUGAAGGUGAAAAUUUAUGGUUUGACACUAGAUCCAUGGAUAGCUCACCCUAAAUGCCACAUGUAGUGUGCAUUUUUCCUGCUCAUUUAUACUACUCCCUCCGUUUCAGUUUAUAAG
rnacentral:lncRNA from 1 species